GGAUUGUGGCUCAGCGGUAGAGCACUCCUCUAGCAUGGGUGGGACCGGGUUCGAUCCUCAGCACCA
rnacentral:tRNA from 1 species